rnacentral:rRNA from 1 species
AACGAACGCUGGCGGCAGGCUUAACACAUGCAAGUCGAGCGCAUCCUUCGGGGUGAGCGGCGGAUGGGUGAGUAACGCGUGGGAACGUGCCCUCUUCUACGGAAUAGCCUCGGGAAACUGAGAGUAAUGCCGUAUACGCCCGCAAGGGGAAAGAUUUAUCGGAGGAGGAUCGGCCCGCGUUGGAUUAGGUAGUUGGUGGGGUAACGGCCUACCAAGCCGACGAUCCAUAGCUGGUUUGAGAGGAUGAUCAGCCACACUGGGACUGAGACACGGCCCAGACUCCUACGGGAGGCAGCAGUGGGGAAUCUUGGACAAUGGGGGCAACCCUGAUCCAGCCAUGCCGCGUGAUCGAUGAAGGCCUUAGGGUUGUAAAGAUCUUUCAGCUGGGAAGAUAAUGACGGUACCAGCAGAAGAAGCCCCGGCUAACUCCGUG